rnacentral:rRNA from 1 species
CUUGGCUCUCGCAUCGAUGAAGAACGCAGCGAAAUGCGAUAAGUAGUGUGAAUUGCAGAUUUCAGUGAAUCAUCGAAUCUUUGAACGCACCUUGCACUCCUUGGUAUUCCGAGGAGUAUGCCUGUUUGAGUGUCAUUAAAUUCUCAAACCUCACUAGUUUUGCGACUUGUUGAGGCUUUGGAUGUGGGGGUUGCUGGCUUUCACGAGUCAGCUCUCCUUAAAUGCAUUAGCGGUUACUGUUCGCUACAUCCUGGUGUGAUAAUAUCAACGCCUAGUAGUGAUGUUAAGUGUAGCUGCUUCAAACCGUCUGAGAAUUCGGACAAUCUGAACCAUUUGACCUCAAAUCAGGUAGGACUACCCGCUGAACUUAAGCAUAUCAAUAAGCGGAGGAAAAGAAACU